rnacentral:misc_RNA from 1 species
GAUGAAGAACGCAGCGAAAUGCGAUACGUAAUGUGAAUUGCAGAAUUCAGUGAAUCAUCGAAUCUUUGAACGCAUAUUGUGCUCUUUGGUAUUCCGAAGAGCAUGCUUGUUUGAGUAUCAGUAAACACCUCAACCUCUUCUUGAUUUUUCAAAAGGAGGGUGGACUUGAGCUAUCCCAACAACCUUUACCGGUCGGCUGGCGGCUUGAAAUGCAGGUGCAGCUGGACUUUUAUCUGAGCUAAAAGCAUAUCUAUUUAGUCCUCGUCAAACAGGAUUAUUACUUUUGCUGCAGCUAACAUAAAGGAUAAUUGUCCUCUUUGCUGACUGAUGCAGGAUUUUACGACACUUUAUGUGUUGUUCAACUCGAUCUCAAAUCAAGUAAGACUACCCGCUGAACUUAAGCAUAUCAAUAAGCGGAGGA